UACGUAGGGUGCGAGCGUUAAUCGGAAUUACUGGGCGUAAAGCGUGCGCAGGCGGUUGGCAAAGUCAGCUGUGAAAGCCCCGGGCUCAACCUGGGAAUUGCGGUUGAAACUAGUCGACUAGAAUCUGGCAGAGGGGGGUGGGAAUUCCACGGUGUAGCAGUGGAAAUGCGUAGAGAUGUGGAGGAACACCGAUGGCGAAG
rnacentral:rRNA from 1 species